rnacentral:lncRNA from 1 species
GUAUAAAUGGUAUCAGUUAUAUUCAUUCUCCCAUUUAGCUGACAGCCAUGCUGACAUAAAAGGCAUCACCAUCCCUGUGGCAGCAGGUGGAGACUUCCAGGAGGAGUCAGACUCCUGGUUUCCACUGGUCUUUGCAUGUCAGGGAUGUUCCUAAGUGAGACGUUUGUUAAGUCAGAAACUGUCUUUCAUAACAAACUGGUACCUUGGUACUGAUUUGAAGGACUGCUUUUUUUUUUUUCCAAAAAAUUCAUGGAUUCUUACCUUUUAAACUAA